GGUGUUUAUGUUGCUCACUUUGAGAGCUGGUAGACAUGGUGUCAAGGAAGGCAUACGUUGACUGCUUGGCAGCCUUUUCCAGCACUGAGAUUCUGUAUCCCUGGUGCAGGAGUGACAGCUGAAAGUUACAGAA
rnacentral:snoRNA from 1 species